rnacentral:rRNA from 1 species
GGUGCAUGGCUGUCGUCAGCUCGUGUCGUGAGAUGUUGGGUUAAGUCCCGCAACGAGCGCAACCCUUGCCCUAUGUUGCCAGCGGAUAAUGCCGGGGACUCGUAGGGGACUGCCGGAGUUAAUUCGGAGGAAGGUGGGGACGACGUCAAGUCAUCAUGCCCCUUACAUCCAGGGCUGCACGCAUGCUACAAUGGCCGGUACAAAGGGUCGCCAACCCGCGAGGGGGAGCCAAUCCCAUAAAGCCGGUCUCAGUUCGGAUCGCAGUCUGCAACUCGACUGCGUGAAGUCGGAGUCGCUAGUAAUCCCGAAUCAGCACGUCGGGGUGAAUACGUUCCCGGGCCUUGUACACACCGCCCGUCACACCACGAAAGUCGGCAACACCCGAAGCCGGUGGCCCAACCAGUACUGGAGGGAGCCGUCGAAGGUGGGGUCGGUGAUUGGGGUGAAGUCGUAACAAGGUAACCAAGGGCG